GCCAGGUGUGGCGGUGCACACUUGUAAUCCCAGCUACUCAGGAGGCUGAGGCAGGAGAAUCACUCGAACCCAGGAGGUCAGGUUGCAGUGAGCCAAGAUCGCGCCAUUGCACUCCAGCCUGGGCAACAGAGUGAGAUUCCGUCUCAA
rnacentral:SRP_RNA from 1 species